rnacentral:lncRNA from 1 species
AGUCACCAAAGUUUUCAUGUUUACGUUUGAACACAAUUUCCUAUAUAUGUUUUUUUUUUUUUUUUUAAAAGGAUGUCAAAGGAUUUCGCCGCCUUUGAAUUCUUACCAUCUGAGUUAGGUAUAGAUCUUAAUUUUUAUGUAUAUUUAAAAACAAUUUCUUGUCAUUAGAAACCCACUACAAUUAGGAGAAAUUUUACCCAUAAAAUGCUCCAUUACUACUUAGAUUCCCAAGUCAUCCGGGAGUUUGAGGGGAAGUAGGCAGAUGAACAAUAGAAAGAAAAAUAAAUUUCUAUUUCGUUAGGUCCCAUUCUCUUUCAUUUUUUCUCUCUCCCUUAUUUUCAAUCACGCAAUCUUCUCUUUUAACUUUUCUGGUAAAAAGGUGUACUAGUUUUAAAAAUAUUAGCAUUUGGUUGAUAAAAGUUUUUUUGAGAAAUAAUUCUUUGAAUUCUUUGUGUGAAUUGUGAAUAAAAAGUAGAAAAAAAGUUAUGAAAAAUUGUGAAAAGUGAUUUUAU